AUCGUUCUGUAAGUUUUACCUUCUCUUGGAAACAUUAGUCCAAUCAAGAACACGAAACCAGUUGAGUUUAUGUUGCUGGACUCAAUGGUUAACGCAAUUAUUAGAAUAAGGAUGAAAAAAGCGAGCGUUUCAGCUUUGGAGAGGUACUUCUCUUUAGGGUUUCUUUUGGGGAGCCAUGAAGCUAAGAAUCUAUUGAUGAAAAUUAUAACAACCGUGGCAAAUGUGUAGGCAAAGAUGUCUCCUGUCAUUUUCCCGGAGAUGUAAGCAAUGACCAUAGUGUAGAUGAAAAUGUUGGUCAUCUCGAUGAACAAUCCGCAGGAUAUCGCUAGCCUUCCGAUCUCAGAUGUGUGGAGUUUCCAGUCAAUGAUUGAGCGGAUGACCACAGCCCACCACAAACAGUGAAUACAUCUCUCCUAUCUCUCUCAGAAUCGUCAGUGUUUGCUCUCCGUUGCUUACUCGCUUCUCUAUGAAUCCAACUUGCCCCGUCGUUACAAAUCUGCCAAAAAUAAACCAAAACCAGUUCGGUCAAUGAAAAAAAUGCCAAUGUUUCAGGUCUAGAAAUUAUCCACAACCCUAGUACUAAAGAUCUGAAAUUUAUGAGGGCGAUAAACAUUAUUAGGUUAAUUGUAACAAAAAAUAUUUAUAAUUUUUGGGCCAUGCAACAAAUACAUAAUAUUUCCUUAAAAUUUGGAUUGUAAGAUUAAUGUUUCAUCCGAUUGUGCUCAAAACCUUUCAUGAACUGGCUAAAGCUGGAAACAUAGGAUUAGUAAGAAGUAGAAUCUUGUAAAUUACCUGUUAUAGUAUUCCUCUAAGAAACUUCGAUCAGUUUCGUCGUUUGUCUGAUCGUUACCAACAAUCUCCAUUAAAACAUCGUUGUUUUCUUUGGUCACCGCGUCUCCGACAAGAUUCUCUGUCUCUGAGCCAUCCGCGACAAACUGUAUGAUAGUGAGGUGAAUUUGAGAGUUAUUGAUAAGCCACUGGCACAAGGACAGAGCCUCACGAUCAUCAGGACCACCAAAGAACAAUGCAGCGACGUGUUGCACCGACUCAAACCCGUGAAGCUGGCGAAACCCUGUUAUGUUUCUAUCCACAAAGAUACCGAUCGAACACUGUGCUUGCUUUAGCACCUUCCGGUUCAUAUCCCGAAAAGCUUCCCCGUCGUUUGUAGUUUUCCCAUCGAUCCUCUGGUGUUUAUGGAACGGAAGAAACACGAUGGAGACGCGAAGAUCUUCGCUCCCGUUACAGAUCUCUUCGUGCAUGUUCUGCAUCAGCGCUACUCGUUUCACUUGCCGGAUCAUGACCUUUCUGUCUCUAGUGAAUGAAUCAAUCGAGUCAUUGAUCUCUAGUCCUUCGUUGGUUCCAAACUCAUCGUCUCCUCCAGUGGAGUUCACUCCAUCUACGUCUAGUUCGUGGUACAGUAGUUCAGUUUUUCGCUUCUUGGAGAGGGGUAUGAGGUGCAUGAGAUAAGGUGUGAAAGGUGAAGAAGAAGCUCCAUUUAGAGCAGAGAUUAGAGAGAUUAGUCCACGAGCUUGACGUACACCGUAGACGCAAGUCAGCACACGUAGCUCCUCUUUGGUAUCGUGGAACUCAAGCGAUGUUUUUCGGUGUGAGAAACCCUUUUCUUGCGUUCUAAGUAAUAAAGAAGAUAUUACUCCGCUUAACAAAGUCGUGAUCACCAGUGUCGCAAUGAGCAUAUCAUGAAUUAUCGGAGUAAACCAUUUCUACAAAGAGAGAAAAAAAUAAUCAGAAAACAAAGAGAAGAUUAUUAUCUGACUUGUUACUAUUAUAAUGUAAAAAAAAAACUAUUUAAAAAAAAACUAUAAUGUAUCAAAUCUCAUAAAUAACACCUUUUUAAAAAAUAACACUAAUUACUUUUGUCAUAAAAAUAGCAAUCAAAGAGAAAAAAUCCUAAAAUAUUAAUAUUUAUUAAUUAAUAAAACACUAAAAUAUCUUAUGUUGUGAAUUCUAAUAAGAAUCUCACAUUCUAAAUACUAAACCCUAACCUAUAAUCAAAAACUCAAAUUAAAACAUAAAAAUGUCUUGUUAAUUUUAAAUUAAUGCUAUUUUGGUAAUUUUCUCCUUUGUAAACUAGUUUUUGAACAAAAAACUUGAUUACUGAUAUUUAAAGAUAUUAUCUCUAAAAUGUAGUUACCUUGUAGGUCAAGUUUGAGUCGAGGAGGACCAGACCAAUAUGACCUUUUACUGAGAGAAUCGUAGACAAGAAAAGCCAAUACUUCUUUGGGAUCUUAAGGAAUAAACAUGCACAUAAGACUCCUAGAAGCUUCGCUACCAUGCUUAAAGCCACUAUCGUACAGAGGACUAGGUAAUGACGUUUGGUUAGAGAGUGGACGCUGAAUCUAAACCCGAUGUAACCAAAGUAAACCGGAAGAACAAACUCGUGAAUCGGGUAACUCAGCCGGUUGAUCAUCGUUCUGUAAGUUUUACCUUCUCUUGGAAACAUUAGUCCAAUCAAGAACACGAAACCAGUUGAGUUUAUGUUGCUGGACUCAAUGGUUAACGCAAUUAUUAGAAUAAGGAUGAAAAAAGCGAGCGUUUCAGCUUUGGAGAGGUACUUCUCUUUAGGGUUUCUUUUGGGGAGCCAUGAAGCUAAGAAUCUAUUGAUGAAAAUUAUAACAACCGUGGCAAAUGUGUAGGCAAAGAUGUCUCCUGUCA
rnacentral:lncRNA from 1 species